rnacentral:rRNA from 1 species
UACGAAGGGGGCGAGCGUUGUUCGGAAUUACUGGGCGUAAAGGGCGCGUAGGCGGCGACUCUAGUCAGAUGUGAAAGUCCUGGGCUUAACCUGGGGACUGCAUUUGAUACUGGGUUGCUUGAAUUCGGGAGAGGAUAGCGGAAUUCCCAGUGUAGAGGUGAAAUUCGUAGAUAUUCGGAGGAACACCAGUGGCGAAGGCGGCUCACUGGUCCAUUACUGACGCUGAGGUGCGAAAGCGUGGGGAGCAAACAGG